AAACCAUCUUUCCUCCCUCCCCUCUUCCUCCCUCCGUCUGUCUUCUUUCUCUCCUUCCCUCCCAACCCCCAUAUCUCUGCUCUGCAAAUCUACUGAUCAUAUCAAAGUUUCCGAUGUGUCUAACAAGCAUGGCUUUAGAGUUCCUGAAAUAUGAACCCAGUAGCUACUGCUGCCUUGCAUUUAACGGUUUGUCUCUUUGGGUUUCUGCACAGUUCUGGAGUCUGCUGUGCUGACAUCGUAUCCUGACCAGUUCUACAGUCACCAUGUUGCUUUCUCCCAGCCACCGCGUCAGACUUUGGAAAUGUUUAAUAUCUUGAUUUUCUUUUCCUGGGAUCAGAUCCCUGGUUUUGGUACUAGCUUUAUCAAGCACUGUACUAACAGUGUUUUCGCUUACGGUGCUGCUGUAAAUCACUCAUCCAGUCAACACACAGUAUUUGGGACAUACCUGUGUGCAAAAGUGACUCUCAUCCACCUGACAACUAAAAGCACAACCCACACUGGAGUUGGCUUGGACAGCAGCGGUCAUCCCAGUCACUCUGCUACGCCUGAGUUUGUAAGAGGUGUUAUCCCAAGAAGUCUUCACGUUGUUCUGGGAGAGACACGGGGAAGAUCAUGAUGAUGAAACUGUGGGUAUAAAGAGGGGAAACACAGAGUUCAGAGAGACUGGCUCAUCAGGAGCCACUUCCGGUAAAGGGGAAGACUUCACCGUAAAAUGCGAUGCUUUCGUUGUCACUGAAUUUUAUGCAGACUCUUUAGAAGACGGCAGGAUUCAUGACCUGCUGUCUACUAAUCACCCUAAAUUGAGGUAAAUGCUGGUCUCUUACUCUUUCCAUAUUCUAUUUAUAGAAUAUAUACACAGAGGAAGGGGACAGGACUCUGCAGGGAAUUUUAAAGAAUGUCAGCAAUGUUUUACAUUCAUCACACUGCCCUCUAGACCACCUGUGGAGUGGGGACACCUUUCCCAACCUUGUUCUCUGCACAUCUCACACUCUUUAUGGAAGUAGGGAAGCAAGAAUCUUCAUGAAUAGUCUCUGCUACAACGUAACAAAGCCCGUGCAGGAGCAUAGCAUAGCACCAACAGACUCCUGAGCCGUGGAAUAUCCUUUGUUCCUAGCAAGAAGACAUUGUAGCAGGCCAUGACACCAUCAUGCUGGAUUAAUGCUGUUCUGGCUGGUUUAACUACUAACAGGGCACAAUCUAGAACCACAAUCUAGAACCACCAUCUAGUUAAAAGUUUUCUUAACUUUUCAACUGAUUCUUUGUGACUUUCACAUCAUGCACCUCAACUCCUCUCAGCUCCCUGUCUCCUAGUAUCUGCCCUCGCAACACAAACAAACAGAAAUAAACAAACAAACAAAACAAAGCAUAGAAAACAUCUUACCAUGGAAGCUGUAUUGUGUUUCAGUGUGUCCCACAGGAUAUAUGCCCUUUUGCCCACACACCUUUACCUUGUAGAAGUUCAUGGCAGUGAGUGACUGCUGUGGUUCAAGGCCUCUGGCUUCUGUGACACCAUCAAUACUGGAUCAUCUCCGGGACUUCUCCUGGUUAUCCCAUGAUUGCCCUGUGUCAUGGAGAUCCUGCAGCAGGACUGGCCCCUUCAUGUGCCCUAAUAGUUCAUAGAUGAUGUAGAUUUGGAGGUGGGCCAACUCAAAGCCCUGGAUUAGCUGAACUUUUCAGCCUGCAGGCUCUCCCUUAUCUGCACCACUAGGGGGAGCUCUCCAGCACUGCUCUGGCUACGCCUACAGGAGCAGGGCCCUGGUCAGCAAUCUUGCUCUCAUGCCCUUGGGGC
rnacentral:lncRNA from 1 species